UACAGAGGUGGCAAGCGUUGUUCGGAAUUACUGGGCGUAAAGGGCGCGUAGGCGGUCUUCUAAGUCUUGUGUGAAAUCCCUCGGCUCAACUGAGGAACUGCACGGGAUACUGGAAGACUUGAGUUCGGGAGAGGGAAGCGGAAUUCCGGGUGUAGCGGUGAAAUGCGUAGAUAUCCGGAGGAACACCGGUGGCGAAGGCGGCUUCCUGGACCGAUCACUGACGCUGAGGCGCGAAAGCAUGGGGAGCGAACGGG
rnacentral:rRNA from 1 species